GUCAUCUUGGAGGUAUGAACAAUAACAUCGAAGAUAUUGUUCCAAACAUUGAUUAACCCUUUCUGUUUGCCCAUUAGUUUGGGGAUGAUAAGCGGAAGAGAGUUUGCAUUGAAUUUGAAGGGAGAGACACAUCUCUUUCCAGAAUUUGGAGGUAAAUUGUGUCCCCCUAUCAGAAAUAAUUUCUUCAGGAAGACCAUGAAGUUUC